rnacentral:tRNA from 1 species
GGGCGGUUAGCUCAGUUGGUAGAGCGUCUCGUUGACGUCGAGAAGGUCAGAGGUUCGAACCCUCUACCGCCCA